UACGUAGGGUGCAAGCGUUAAUCGGAAUUACUGGGCGUAAAGCGUGCGCAGGCGGUUAUGCAAGGCAGAUGUGAAAUCCCCGGGCUCAACCUGGGAACUGCAUUUGUGACUGCAUGGCUAGAGUGCGGCAGAGGGGGAUGGAAUUCCGCGUGUAGCAGUGAAAUGCGUAGAUAUGCGGAGGAACACCGAUGGCGAAGGCAAUCCCCUGGGCCUGCACUGACGCUCAUGCACGAAAGCGUGGGGAGCAAACAGG
rnacentral:rRNA from 1 species